rnacentral:rRNA from 1 species
GCUAUGCCCGAUCUCGUCUGAUCUCGGAAGCUAAGCAGAGUCGGGCCUGGUCAGUACUUGGAUGGGAGACCGCCUGGGAAUACCAGGUGCUGUAAGCUU